AUCGGACUUAGUGAUCCGGUGGUUCUGCGUGGAAGGGCCAUCGCUCAACGGAUAAAAGCUACCCUGGGGAUAACAGGCUUAUCUCCCCCAAGAGUCCACAUCGACGGGGAGGUUUGGCACCUCGAUGUCGGCUCAUCACAUCCUGGGGCUGUAGUAGGUCCCAAGGGUUGGGCUGUUCGCCCAUUAAAGUGGUACGCGAGCUGGGUUCAGAACGUCGUGAGACAGUUCGGUCCCUAUCCGUCGCAGGCGUAGGAAAUUUGAGAAGACCUGUCCUUAGUACGAGAGGACCGGGAUGGACGUACCUCUGGUGUACCAGUUGUUCUGCCAAGGGCAUGGCUGGGUAGCUAUGUACGGAAUGGAUAAGCGCUGAAAGCAUCUAAGCGCGAAGCCAACUUCAAGAUAAGAUUUCCCACCGCAAGGGUAAGACCCCAGAAAGACUAUCUGGUUGAUAGGUCGAAGGUGUAAGUGCAGCAAUGUAUUUAGCUUAUCGAUACUAAUAGGUCGAGGACUUGACCAAAUU
rnacentral:rRNA from 1 species